rnacentral:misc_RNA from 1 species
UCUUUCUUCCUUCUCUCUCCCUGACUUUCCUUGUCUUUCUAUCUCCUCCGCCACUCAACCCUGUCAAGUUAAGUCUCACCCUCACCUCAUCUCACCCCUUACACAACCAGUAAUCAAACCAAAUACCUCACCAUCACCACCACCACCACCACCACCACCACUACCACCAGCUCCAGAACCUCAUAAAAAAACAAAUGAAAAACAAACUUAUAAAUAUAACAAAUAUGAAAGUUUAUCAUCCCCACAUUAAACGAACAACAAUUCUGUCUGUUGGAAUGUAUAUUACCGCCACCAAGUGAGUCUUCCCCAUUUCCUACCAACUCAGUCUUUUACUUAGUGACAAAACUGACAUUAAGGAACAACCAUCUCCGCCGUCCCCGCCACCUUCUCUCUAUCUUUCUCUCCCUCUCUCCCAUACUCUCUCUUAACUCUCUGCUCCUCAUCCACCACACCACAUCUAAAAAAAACCAUGUAUACUUUACCUGUGUUGAAUCGAGAUCCCAACCGUUUUUGGAUAAGUGGCGUGAUUAAUUCUACAUCAACUCCAUUUUUACCAAAUGGUGAUAUUGACUUUUCCAGCUUUGAUAUCUAUAUAGAUUUCCUGGUCCGUAGUCAGGUCGACAAUAUCUUUGUGAAUGGAACGACUGGAGAAGGCAUGGCACUCACGAUCGAUGAGCGGAAACUUGCUGCUGUCGGCUGGAUUAAUGCUGCCAGGGGGAAAAUAAAGAAAGUAAUCCUUCACGUUGGUGCUGCCAAUUUGAGAAGUUCCAUAGAAUUGGCCAAACAUGCAGAAGCCAUUGGUGCUGAUGCCAUUGCGUGUAUGUGUCCAACAUUUUAUAAACCAAAAACUGAAGAGAACUUAAUAAAUUAUUUGUCUCAAGUGGCGGCAGCAGCACCAUCCACACCAUUUUUCUACUACAGCAUCCCUCAUAUGACGCAUGUCCACUUGGACGAAGUGAAAGUCAUGCAGUUAGCCAUGUUGAAGAUUCCGACUCUUCAUGGAAUGAAAGAUUGCACAGACUGUCUGACCAAAUCUCUGGUCUGCGCACAUCUCGAUCGACGGAAACUGCAAGUUGUCAUAGAGACUCCUGGGGAUAUGUUACCAUCGUUAUCUAUAGGAAUUCCAUGUCUGGCUAUUCCUGCUUAUAUGGCACCUAUAUACAACAGAAUGAAAAAUGCCUUAGAAGCUGGAGACUCAGAAACUGCUCAAAGAGACCAAUUGAUGGCUGUGAAUGUAGUGAAAAUUACCUCCAAAUACAAUGAGGAACUUGUCUCCAGAGAGAAAGCCAUGUUGUCCUUAUUUGGCAUGGAUCUUGGCCCCACAAGGUUACCGCUUGUCAGCAUGCCAGAAGAGCAGAAGAUUGCCAUGAAGCUAGAACUUGAAGAAUUGGGAUUCUUGUUUCGGUCGUAAUAAUGGAUUCUAAAAGUGGUGCUGACAGUGAUGAUGAUGAUGAUGAUGAUGAUGAUGGGAUGUUGGUAGACUUAGGCUGUUGUAAUUGGUGUUCAUCAUUAUCAUCAUCAUCACCACCACCACCACCACGAUCAUCAUCGUCGUCACCAUCGUCAUCACUAUCAUCAUCAUCAUCGUCAUCAUCAUCAUCAUC